AUCAGGCGAUUCCUCGACAGCUGUUUUCUUAGGCUAUAGCAACAGCUUUCCCGGGCUAUGCGAAUGACAAGAGUUAGCGGUUUUGUAUUUGGGUAGCCUCUCUGUGGUAUUAAAUCAACCGUUGAGAUCAGAGCCAGAAAAGUAAUUGUUUUGAUUCAAUUUGUUCACUUCAGGCACAUUUCUUAACAACUGCAAAUUUUGUGUUUUAUUUAUUCUUCCAGCUUAAUAUUUUACACACUUGGAUGAAUGCAAUUGAUGCAAAACACUUGUAACGGCGAAUCGGCUUAUGGUUAAAAACUCCGUAAACUCAUGCGCGAUCUAACGACGAAAUGUGAAUUACAAAUAGUCGCGGCAUCAGGGCGGCUGCGUCUGCUGUUAUGCUAUUGGACUGUUGUUGAUGCGGACUCUGCAAAAACGAUGCCCUUCAUAACAUUUUAUACAGCGUUAAUUUUUUCAUAAUUAUUGCGAGCUUUAGAUGUGCUAUACUUGAAAAUGGGCAGACAUUAGAAUCACACCACUUUUUUUUUUUAUUUUAAUUCAAAGUAUAUACAAAUUCAUGCGUAUAUAUGUACAUGUAUAUCUCUAUAUACUUAUAUGCGUUUUAUAAUUAAACUGUGUCCUAACUGACUGAUAGGUGAUCAACGCGCAGCCCAAA